AUGUACAUUGUCCAGUACAUUAAUUUCAUAGUAUACACAUUAUUUGUAGAUUCCAGAUAUUUUUUACUUUCGACAGUCAGGGUCUUAGGGACAAUAUGCACUACAAAUGAAUUUAUUCUUUGUGGUAGUGGCAGUGCACUAUGCAUGUUUCCUUUGAUUGUUAUGUCGUGUUUUUUAACCUAUAAAUGUAAUGAACUAUUCAGUACCAUGCCCAUGGAUAAACAUCAUAGAGACACUGCUACCUGGAGUUGCCUGGCAUCAGCCAUCAAGACAGUUAUAGAAUCAACGAGAUGUACCUUGGGAAAUGGAUCCAGAAUCUCCUUCUGGCACGACUGGUGGUUGGACUGUGGAAGGCUGAAAUUCUCUUUCCCAAUUCUCUUCACCUUUGCACAAUCGCCUUAUUGCACUGUUGCCUCGCAGUUCACUGAUGGACAAUGGAACCUCAAGCUACAUCCGAAUUUAACUAUGACAGCCACAAGAGAAAUGGAGGCCUUACUGAUGAUUCUAGUUGGAGUGCAUCCAUCUAUUUCUCACACUGAAACAGAUCAGAGAAACCCUUGUAUGAAAUCUGGAAAGGUCACCACUGCAUUCUUCUAUGAGCUGCUCACGUUCAGGGGGAUCCUUUGCCCAGCUGCUCCAAAAAUAUGGGACACUUUGAUACCCAACAGACAUCGGGUCUUCCUUUGGCUGGCUCUACGAGGUAGACUGAACACAAGAGAUAAUAUUCUCAAAAGAGGCUGGACGUCAAUCACAACACACAAUGGCUGCGACCUGUGCCCUGCAACCGAAAACAGUAGCCAUAUCAUCCUCAGAUGCAGGCUUGCUGAUGCUGUUUGGGAGCGGGCAGGCGUGCAAGACAAGGCAAGAAGCUCCAAUGAUCUCCAGAUUUUUCUACUCGCCACGGAACCCCCUGCAUAUGGCAACCUCUGGCAUAUUGUUUUUGCAGCCUGCGCCGUGUCUCUCUGGUCUGCCAGGAACGAGCAGGUCUUCCAGCACACACGAUGGUCCGCUGGCAAGGUGUUGAGCACGAUUGCAGACCUGCUGCGCCUGUGGAGUAAUCGUGCGAAUAACAAUGAGGAUAGGAUUAAGCUGUGUAAUUUUGCUGCUCUUUUCCAUACCCCUUUUUCUACCUCUUUUUAG
rnacentral:rRNA from 1 species